rnacentral:rRNA from 1 species
GGUAAUAUCUCUGACAUGCUACAGUUCAACGCUGUUAUAAGUCAGCUAGGUUUGAUGGAAAUCCCUUUAAAAGGAAGAACAUUCACAUGGAGCAAUAUGCAGCUUGAUCCUCUUUUAGAGAAGCUUGAUUGGUUCUUCACCUCUGCUUCCUGGACACUAAGCUUCCCAAAUACUAUGGCAUAUCCUUUGGCAAUGACCACGUCCGAUCAUGUGACAUGUGUGAUUCAAAUUCAAACCUCUAUGCCAAAAAGCAACUUGUUCAGGUUUGAAAAUUGGUGGAUGGAGCACUCUCAAUUCUUGCCAUUAGUAGAAUCUAUUUGGACACAGAGUAUCCACUAUGCAGAUGCUGCUAAAAGAAUCAAUGCAAAGAUGAAAGUUCUUAGGAAACAUCUCAAGAGUUGGGCAAAAACACUUUCCAACAUUAAGACUGAUAUUGCUGAUAUUAAUGCCCUUGUGGCCAUGAUGGACACCAUCGAGAAUUCCAGAAACCUCAGUGAUAUAGAAUCUUCUUUCAGGGACAGACUAAAGAAUCAUCUGACGCAUUUACUCAAGCAACAGAAGCUAUAUUGGCAACAAAGAAGUAAGAUCAAAUGGGUCACUCUUGGGAGUGAUAAUUCUAAGUUCUUUCAGUCUCUAGCAACUGUCCAGAAACGCUCAAACAAUAUUGCGUCUUUGCAAACAUCUGACGGCUCCAUUGUGUCUACUCAUGAAGAAAAGGCCAGUCUAAUUCAUACAGCUUUCAAGGACAGACUUUGCCAAACUGAACCUUGUUCUAUACCCCCCGACCUGCUAAAUCUUAUUGUGCCACAUCACGAUCUUAGCUGCCUGGAAGUCUCUUUUACACAUGAGGAGAUUGAUAAUAUUAUUAAAGCGCUCCCCUCCAAUAAAUCCCCGGGGCCAGAUGGUUUUAACAUAGAUUUUAUCAAGAAGUGUUGGCAUAUCAUUAAGAUGGACUUCUAUGACUUGUGCAACCAGUUUUUUGAUGGCACUCUUUGCUUGCAGAGCAUUAACAACUCCUUCAUCACACUAAUCCCAAAGAAAGCCAGUGCACUCUCUGUUAAUGACUAUAGGCCCAUUUCACUCCUCAGCUGCACAAUAAAGCUCUUGACUAAAUUGCUGGCUAAUAGAUUACAAGCUGUAAUCAUGGAGUUAAUACAUGUUAACCAGUAUGGAUUUAUCAAGUCAAGAAGCAUUCAUGAUUGCAUUGCAUGGGCUUAUGAAUUCCUUUUUCAAUGUCACAAAAGUAAGAAGCCAACCCUGGUGCUCAAAUUGGAUUUCGAAAAGGCCUUUGAUAAAAUUGAGCAUGGUAUGAUCCUAACGCUCCUGAAGAAAAAAGGCUUUGGAACUAAAUGGUGUAAUUGGAUUUCUCAGAUAUAUUCAGUUCUGGAACCUCUGUUGUCCUCCUCAAUGGAAUUCCGGGAAAAAAAU